CUGCAGAUAAAGUUGAUAGGGGAACUGCAAAAAUUUAUCACCUGCUAGUAUGGUGCUGAUAGUUUUCCAAUCAAGAGGUACUAGCCCAAACUCGUUGCUUAUUACGGUUUGACUGUUAGUCAUCCAUAGUAAGCUCACUUAGCUCUGUUAUGUUAGAUGACAUUUCUUGCUAAUAGUAAAAAACAAAAUGCAAUAUGGAAUAUAAAGCCAGGAGCUUCAAACAGUAUAACAGGUUUUCUAGACCUCCUUGAACUAUAUAUCAAGCUUAGAUAAUGAUAAAGUUCAUACUAAGAUGGGUUAUUAUCACAUAUCACUAGUAAAGGUUACAUUACUUGCGCACCCUCCAUUGCACUUUCUUCUAUCCUUCACGUUCCUGAUUUUUCUAGUAAGCUGUUCUCUGUAAGUGCAAUCAACAAUACCUCAAUUGCAAAGUUGCCUUUAUCUUAUUUAGUAUGUUGUUUCAGGAACUGAGGAGAAAUAAUUGGCUUUUUUACAUUGCAAGACGAGCUUUAUGUGUUUGUGGAGAGUAACAGUUCUUUGGUUCCUUCUAGAACUCCAGCAAUUGGUAGGUGUGCAUGUAUCUGGUAAUCAACAAUCUAUACAGUUGCAUAGGAGGUUAGGUCAUUCAUCUUUUUUUUCUUCUUUUGUUAGUUUGUUUAAGAAGUGCAAUUCAGAAUAGUAGUUCUUUUAUGUGCGUUAAUAUGCAAAACAAAAAGAACUACUUAUUCUUUAAUCAAAAAGAAACUUCUUGUUCUUUUUUAACUAUUCAUUCUAUUCUGUAGUGCAUUAAUU
rnacentral:lncRNA from 1 species